rnacentral:rRNA from 1 species
UGGGGAAUAUUGGACAAUGGGCGAAAGCCUGAUCCAGCAAUGCCGCGUGAGUGAUGAAGGCCUUAGGGUUGUAAAGCUCUUUUACCAGGGAUGAUAAUGACAGUACCUGGAGAAUAAGCUCCGGCUAACUCCGUGCCAGCAGCCGCGGUAAUACGGAGGGAGCUAGCGUUGUUCGGAAUUACUGGGCGUAAAGCGUACGUAGGCGGUUAUUCAAGUCAGAGGUGAAAGCCUGGAGCUCAACUCCAGAACUGCCUUUGAAACUAGAUAGCUAGAAUCACGGAGAGGUGAGUGGAAUUCCGAGUGUAGAGGUGAAAUUCGUAGAUAUUCGGAAGAACACCAGUGGCGAAGGCGGCUCACUGGACGUGUAUUGACGCUGAGGUACGAAAGCGUGGGGAGCAAACAGGAUUAGAUACCCGAGUAGUCCCUGAGCGGGCUGGCAAGGCGCAU